AUUCUUUUAGUAUAAUAAGUACUGCUGACUUCCAAUCAGCUGGCCCUAGUAAAUAAUCUAGGAAAGAAUA
rnacentral:tRNA from 1 species